GCUCGUUCCCCUCCCCCUCCUCUCUUUCUCUCUCGCGCUUGACUCCCCCGCCGCCCCUUCCCGUCCCCACCCCCACCCCGACGCCGUUCGCUCCCCAUCCACCAUCCCAGCGCGAUGGCUGGGAGGACCGCGCCCGCCUCCCUCCCCUCCUUCUCCCUCACGCCCGACUCCCUCGCUGCCCCUUUAUCCUGGAUCUCGUCAUGGACGCUACCACGACCAACGGUUCGACGGAGCAGGCGCCGCACUCUGCGCCACGGGACGGAGCCCGUCCCCACCCGACACCGGCCACCUCCACCCCGAGCCCCUCCGAGAAGUGAGUGAUUUCCAUUUCUUCGAUUGGAUGGCGCGCGGUCGGGCCAACGCACCUCUCUGUCCCCCUCCCCUCCCGUGGUGACAGCUUCCUCUAGGAGAUGAGCGCGCCCGCCCCCGCGCGCACCACCACCACCACGCGUCCAUGCCCCUCGUGCACCUUCUCGCCCGAGAUUGAUAUCAUGUCCAAGUUCUUCAAGCUGAUGGUGGUUCUACAAUUAAUGAAUGAUUUGAACUGAAGUGUUCAAGAUGCCGCUAUCUCUUGUAUUGAGGUUAGUUAAUUCCAUAUUUGAUAUUGUCUGUGUAUGCCUACUUCAGCCGACAUUGUGUUUUUUCUAGACCCAUGGUGACUGGUAUGAUCUCUAUUUCUAUUGGACUUGUUCAAUUUCCCAAUAGUUACAUCCCAUAUUUACAAGCUGGAGAGAUUGAAACAUUUUUUAUAACAUCUUAUCUAUUAAAACUCCAUGUCGUUUGCUCCACCAGGGGCUUCCAGUGCGCUUUUUUCCCUCGAUCUCGUGUGAUCUGAGUGUGACAAGGCUUAUAGUGUGCUUGAGGUUCUUCGACCUCUCUAUAAUUCCCCUAAGAUACUGGAACAAAAGGUAACUGUUGCGAUACAUGUCAAUCUUCAAUUUCGUUGUCGCUUAGCAGUUGUUGGGCUUUGGUACCUAGUCUGUAAUUUUGCUGAUGCACCAGCGACACAUAUUUAUCAUUGUUUGUUUUUUAAUCAAUAACAAAGCACAGGUACAAUAUAAUCUUAUAUAGCUUUUAAGGUAUGUAAACAUCCACUUUAGUGAUGCUAACAAAUGUAUAAAAUAAUUAUUAUUAUUUUUUCAUAGCAAUAUAUUUUAUCAUAUUGCAUCUUAGUUCAUGCUACCUGGAUGUAAAUGUGGUGCGGUUUAGUUUAGUAAGAUUUUCACUAAUCACUACAUAGUGCAGCACUGGGCUGUUAAUAUUUUUUGUACCAUGUGUCAUAAGCAUGAGAUGUUGCCUGUAGAGUACCAAUGCUUUAUUGCAGUCUUCCUCCUCGUCUGCCCCAAUGUCGGCAAGUCAGCCCUCUUCAACAGAUUCUAGAUGAUGGUACGACAAAUUAUUUUAGGAGUGCUUUGACAUAAUUUAAAGCUUGGAAGGGAGCUUUCUAUGAUUUAUUUUUCUGACUGUUUCGUCACAUGUUCUUUCCCUAGAUGAAAGUAUUGAUUUAUUUUUGGUUCUGCAGGAUCAUUGCGUCUCUGCGAGCUAAUCAGUUCUGUGAGCGUCUCCCUAGCCCCAAUGGCGAGUCAAUUGUUGAUUGCCAUCAGAUCUCAAAGAUGCCAAAUCUUGCAUUCACCAUAGCAAACAAGACUUUCACCUUAACACCAGAGCUGUACAUAGUGAAGUUGGAGCAAGCAGGACAAACUAUCUGCAUCAAUGGGUUUAUGGCAUUUGACGUACCGCCUCCUCGUGGUCCUCUCUGCUACGCUAAACAUAUCUGUACUACUCUUAAGUGUGCAAUGAGGGCGUCCACCGAGGGCAUCACCGUGCCCCCGCUCGCCCCCUCCACGCCCGCGCCUGUCUGCGUCCGCCCCCUUCGUCUCCCCGCAAUGGCCGCAUCCCUACCUCAUGUCUACGACGACAACUAGGUUAAACAUGAAGAAGUCAUCGGGCUCGGGCUCGGUGUCGUUGCCGCGGAGCAUCCCGGAGCUGUACGAGGAGAGGGGAGCCAGCAGCCUCCGGGAGUUCGGGUUCCAGGAGCUCCGGGCCGCCACCAGUGACUUCAGCCGCCUGCUCAAGGUCGGCGAGGUGGCUUCGGGAGCGUUUACAAGGGCGUCGUCCGCCUUCCUGGCGGGCCCGCCGGCGGCACGGUAGUUGCCAUAAAAAACUCAAUCCCAAUGGUCAUCAGGUAUGGUCGUGUGGAUCGGUGUUUUCUUGGCUCACCUGUGUCAAUACCAUCUUGUCGUUGUUGAUCACGAAUUCGUCAGCAUUUUUACAGUAUAUUGCCUACCAUAUACAUUAUCUGUGUGUGUGUGUGUGGGUGAACCCUACAUCCCGUAGAAGUAGAACUACACAGGGUCUCUGUUUUUUGGAUCAUGAAAUGGACCGUACCUUGCAUGACUCUGUACAAUUCAUCUCGCUAAUGUGUCUGUGAAGUAUCUAUCAUUUUGCUAGCCAUGUUUCAUUUCAGAAGUUCAAGGUUAUCUCAUUCUGGCAUAUCUCAUUUGCCUGCUGAUGAAGUGAAGCCUUUGGUUAAAUAUGAUAAUGAUGAAGAUGCACACUCACCUGGUGGUCGUGGAAGGGGUCGUGGUGGUCGAGGCCGUGGGCGGGGCAGGGGCAGAGGUGGACGUGGAAAUGGGUUCAAUGAGUAUGCUGAUGCUGGUUGGGAAGACGAUCACGCCCGUGCAUAUAUGGGCAAUGGAUAUGCCCGUGGAAGAGGUCGCAGUUUCAGGGGCCGUGGUAGGAGAGGCGACGACGAUAACCAGCCUGAAUACCAACAGGUCGGAGGUUAUUUCAAGAAGAUCCAAUUGAACCAAAAACUUGAAUAAAAUUUCCAACAUUUCUGGAAGACGACUCCAGUCCAUCUGCAGCGGUCCUUGUUGGGAUAGGUUUCAAAGGCAUGAGAGUGACGAGGGUCAAAAAUCUGAACCUCUACGCUUUUGGUUUAUAUAUGCAACCAACUUCUAUCCGUGAGAAGUUGGGUCCUAAGUAUGCUUCAUUUCCAACUGACAAGCUGAUGGAGAACCCUGAUUUCUAUAGUGAUCUUCUCAGGAAAUGGGUUCAAUGAGUAUGCUGAUGCUGGUUGGGAAGACGAUCACUCCCCUGCAUAUAUGGGCAAUGGAUAUGCCCGUGGAAGAGGUCACAGCUUCAGGGGCCGUGGUAGGAGAGGCGGCGACAAUAACCAGCCUGAAUACCAACAGGUCGGAGGUUAUUACGAGGAGGCACCUGUUCAUGCUCCAGCUUUAGAUUUUCACCAUUUGUAAUGGAACUGAAAUCAGCCUCUCAUCGAAGUGGAAACCUUUUUUUAGUCGUAAACAUUUACAUGGUUUAUCCAGUGGUAUGCUGAUGAAAGAUGAUAAGUUUCGCUUAAUAUAAUGUAUAUGAAGGUCCUGGGUACGUCAAAUUUUGUCCACAUUGAACCAGUACGAAUGACAUCUUCCUUGAAAGUUAUAGAAAUGCUUCAAAGUUCAAAUG